rnacentral:rRNA from 1 species
GGCGUNCCUAACACAUGCAAGUCGGACGCGAAAGCUCCUUCGGGAGUGAGUAGAGUGGCGCACGGGUGAGUAACGCGUAGGUAAUCUACCUCUGGAUUGGGGAUAACUCUGCGAAAGCGGAGCUAAUACCGAAUGGUCUGGCUUUAUUUUGAUGAAGUCGGUAAAGGAUGCCUCUGCAUAUGCAUCUGUCCGGAGAUGAGCCUGCGUCCCAUUAGCUAGUUGGUAGGGUAAAGGCCUACCAAGGCGACGAUGGGUAGCUGGUCUGAGAGGAUGAUCAGCCACACUGGAACUGGAACACGGUCCAGACUCCUACGGGAGGCAGCAGUGGGGAAUAUUGGGCAAUGGGCGCAAGCCUGACCCAGCAACGCCGUGUGAGGGAUGAAGGCCUUCGGGUCGUAAACCUCUGUCAGAAGGGAAGAACGGGCAUAGUUCGAAUAGGGCUGUGUUUUGACGGUACCUUCAGAGGAAGCACCGGCUAACUCCGUGCCAGCAGCCGCGGUAAUACGGAGGGUGCGAGCGUUAUUCGGAAUCACUGGGCGUAAAGGGCGCGUAGGCGGCCUGGUAAGUCAGGGGUGAAAUCCCACGGCUCAACCGUGGAAUUGCCUUUGAAACUGCUGGGCUUGGAUCCUGGAGAGGGUGGCGGAAUUCCUGGUGUAGGAGUGAAAUCCGUAGAUAUCAGGAGGAACACCGGUGGCGAAGGCGGCCGCCUGGACAGGUAUCGACGCUGAGGCGCGAAAGUGUGGGGAGCAAACAGGAUUAGAUACCCUGGUAGUCCACACCGUAAACGAUGGAUACUAGGUGUUGGGGGCAUGACCCUCAGUGCCGGAGCUAACGCGUUAAGUAUCCCGCCUGGGGAGUACGG